UCGAGCGAACGGACGAGAAGCUUGCUUCUCUGAUGUUAGCGGCGGACGGGUGAGUAACACGUGGAUAACCUACCUAUAAGACUGGGAUAACUUCGGGAAACCGGAGCUAAUACCGGAUAAUAUUUUGAACCGCAUGGUUCAAAAGUGAAAGACGGUCUUGCUGUCACUUAUAGAUGGAUCCGCGCUGCAUUAGCUAGUUGGUAAGGUAACGGCUUACCAAGGCAACGAUGCAUAGCCGACCUGAGAGGGUGAUCGGCCACACUGGAACUGAGACACGGUCCAGACUCCUACGGGAGGCAGCAGUAGGGAAUCUUCCGCAAUGGGCGAAAGCCUGACGGAGCAACGCCGCGUGAGUGAUGAAGGUCUUCGGAUCGUAAAACUCUGUUAUUAGGGAAGAACAUAUGUGUAAGUAACUGUGCACAUCUUGACGGUACCUAAUCAGAAAGCCACGGCUAACUACGUGCCAGCAGCCGCGGUAAUACGUAGGUGGCAAGCGUUAUCCGGAAUUAUUGGGCGUAAAGCGCGCGUAGGCGGUUUUUUAAGUCUGAUGUGAAAGCCCACGGCUCAACCGUGGAGGGUCAUUGGAAACUGGAAAACUUGAGUGCAGAAGAGGAAGGUGGAAUUCCAUGUGUAGCGGUGAAAUGCGCAGAGAUAUGGAGGAACACCAGUGGCGAAGGCGACUUUCUGGUCUGU
rnacentral:rRNA from 1 species